GAGUUUGAUCAUGGCUCAGAUUGAACGCUGGCGGCAUGCCUUACACAUGCAAGUCGAACGGUAACGGGCCUUCGGGUGCCGACGAGUGGCGAACGGGUGAGUAAUGCAUCGGAACGUACCUUUCAGUGGGGAUAACGUAGCGAAAGUUACGCUAAUACCGCAUAUUCUGUGAGCAGGAAAGCAGGGGAUCGCGAGACCUUGCGCUGAUUGAGCGGCCGAUGUCAGAUUAGCUAGUUGGUGAGGUAAAGGCUCACCAAGGCGACGAUCUGUAGCGGGUCUGAGAGGACGAUCCGCCACACUGGAACUGAGACACGGUCCAGACUCCUACGGGAGGCAGCAGUGGGGAAUUUUGGACAAUGGGGGCAACCCUGAUCCAGCCAUGCCGCGUGAGUGAAGAAGGCCUUCGGGUUGUAAAGCUCUUUCGGCCGGGAAGAAAUCGCAUGGGUUAAUACCCUGUGCGGAUGACGGUACCGGCAUAAGAAGCACCGGCUAACUACGUG
rnacentral:rRNA from 1 species